UGCACAGAAUAUGCCAACAGUAGAGCAGCUGCAUUCCCUUUUCUGCUGGUGUCUCUCUCUUUUGGCUUUUUUAUUCUGUUGUGUCUCCACCAUGUUGGGAUGGCUACUUCUACAGACUUUGCUGGUCCUUUGGCUGGCGCAUAGUGCGCACCUGAAGAACAAUGGAAAUGGUGGGGGUGUUGGAAGAAUGUUGAUGCCAUCCAAUGGAUAUGGAUACAAGGGAAAUGGUUACAGUGCUGGAGCCGGAGUGCCCAAUGGAAACGGUGCCAAACCCAAUGGUAAUUAUGGUGCUCCUGCAGCUGUGCCUAAUGGAAAUGGUGCUAAACCCAAUGGUAAAUUACCCACUUAUCUGCACUGUCAUAUCGGAUUUAUUUGUUGAGGUCUGGUACAAUCAUGCAUUUUCUGUAACACUUUGACAUCCCUGUUGAAGGAUAUGGUGCUCCAGCUGCUGUACCCUAUGGUCAAAGGUCAAAAGGUAAAUCACGUCUUUUUUUCCUUUGAGUGUCAAUUGUGUGUUUUAGUAAUUAUAUAGGUAUUAGGU
rnacentral:lncRNA from 1 species